rnacentral:rRNA from 1 species
GAUGAACGCUCGCGGGAGGCCUAACACAUGCAAGCCGAGCGGUAUUGUUUCUUCGGCAAUGAGAGAGCGGCGUACGGGUGCGUAACACGUGUGCAACCUGCCUUUAUCUGGGGGAUAGCCUUUCGAAAGGAAGAUUAAUACUCCAUAAUAUAUUGAACGGCAUCGUUUAAUAUUGAAAGCUCCGGCGGAUAGAGAUGGGCACGCGCAAGAUUAGCUAGUUGGUGAGGUAACGGCUCACCGAGGCGAUGAUCUUUAGGGGGCCUGAGAGGGUGAUCCCCCACACGGGUACAGGGACACCGACCAGACUCCUGCGAGACGCAGCAGUGUGGUAUAUGAGGCAGUGGUGGCGAGCCUGAGCCAACCAGCCCGAGUCAAAGACAGCUGCCCUGGGUGAUGUAUGCAGCUUUUGGGGAGGGAAAAACCUACUCUCCGGAGGGAUACUGAAGGUACUGGAAGAAUAAGCACCGGCUAACUCCGUG